rnacentral:rRNA from 1 species
CCUGCCGAUAACUCUGGAAUAGCCUUUCGAAAGAAAGAUUAAUACCGGAUGGCAUACGAAUAUCGCAUGAUAUUUUUAUUAAAGAAUUUCGGUUAUCGAUGGGGAUGCGUUCCAUUAGUUUGUUGGCGGGGUAACGGCCCACCAAGACAACGAUGGAUAGGGGUUCUGAGAGGAAGGUCCCCCACAUUGGAACUGAGACACGGUCCAAACUCCUACGGGAGGCAGCAGUGAGGAAUAUUGGUCAAUGGGCGAGAGCCUGAACCAGCCAAGUAGCGUGAAGGAUGAAGGUUCUAUGGGUCGUAAACUUCUUUUAUAUGGGAAUAAAGUUUUCCACGUGUGGAAUUUUGUAUGUACCAUAUGAAUAAGGAUCGGCUAACUCCGUGCCAGCAGCCGCGGUAAUACGGAGGAUCCGAGCGUUAUCCGGAUUUAUUGGGUUUAAAGGGAGCGUAGGUGGAUUGUUAAGUCAGUUGUGAAAGUUUGCGGCUCAACCGUAAAAUUGCAGCUGAAACUGGCAGUCUUGAGUACAGUAGAGGUGGGCGGAAUUCGUGGUGUAGCGGUGAAAUGCUUAGAUAUCACGAAGAACUCCGAUUGCGAAGGCAGCUCACUAGACUGUUACUGACACUGAUGCUCGAAAGUGUGGGUAUCAAACAGGAUUAGAUACCCUGGUAGUCCACACAGUAAACGAUGAAUACUCGCUGUUUGCGAUAUACAGUAAGCGGCCAAG